AACGAACGCUGGCGGCAUGCCUAACACAUGCAAGUCGAACGAGACCUUCGGGUCUAGUGGCGCACGGGUGCGUAACACGUGGGAAUUUGCCUCGGGGUAUGGAAUAACUCAGGGAAACUUGAGCUAAUACCAUAUAAUGUCUUCGGACCAAAGAUUUAUCGCCCUGAGAUAAGCCCGCGUAGGAUUAGCUAGUUGGUGGGGUAAAGGCUCACCAAGGCGACGAUCCUUAGCUGGUCUGAGAGGAUGAUCAGCCACACUGGGACUGAGACACGGCCCAGACUCCUACGGGAGGCAGCAGUGGGGAAUAUUGGACAAUGGGCGCAAGCCUGAUCCAGCCAUGCCGCGUGCAGGAUGACGGGUCCUAUGGGAUUGUAAACUGCUUUUAUACAGGAAGAAAC
rnacentral:rRNA from 1 species